UGGGGAAUAUUGCACAAUGGGCGAAAGCCUGAUGCAGCAAUGCCGCGUGUGUGAAGAAGGCCUGCGGGUUGUAAAGCACUUUCGGUAGGGAAGAUAAUGACGGUACCUACAGAAGAAGCACCGGCUAACUACGUGCCAGCAGCCGCGGUAAUACGUAGGGUGCGAGCGUUAAUCGGAAUUACUGGGCGUAAAGGGUGCGCAGGCGGCCGCGCAAGUCAGGUGUGAAAUCCCCGGGCUUAACCUGGGAAUUGCGCUUGAAACUAUGCGGCUAGAGUGUGGCAGAGGGGGGUGGAAUUCCACGUGUAGCAGUGAAAUGCGUAGAGAUGUGGAGGAACACCGAUGGCGAAGGCAGCCCCCUGGGCCAACACUGACGCUCAGGCACGAAAGCGUGGGGAGCAAACAGGAUUAGAUACCCAUGUAGUCCCUGAGCGGGCUGGCAAGGCGCAU
rnacentral:rRNA from 1 species